AUGUACCUACGGGCGGCAGCAGUGGGGGAUAUUGCACAAUGGGGGGAACCCUGAUGCAGCGACGCCGCGUGGGUGAAGGAGCGUUUCGGCGCGUAAAGCCCUCUCGGCAGGGAAGAAGAUGACGGUACCUGACCAAGAAGCCCCGGCUAACUACGUGCCAGCAGCCGCGGUAAUACGUAGGGGGCAAGCGUUAUCCGGAUUUACUGGGUGUAAAGGGGGCGCAGACGGCACUGCAAGCCAGGAGUGAAAGCCCGGGGCCCCACCCCGGGACUGCUCUUGGAACUGCAUGGCUGG
rnacentral:rRNA from 1 species